ACCGGACCGGACCGGCCGGUUCGACCGGUUUAACCGCGAACCGACACUACAAACGGUCCGGUCCUCUCCUGAAAACCGUGCAGCGAAAAAUCGCUUAAGAACCGGCGAACCGGUCAAAAACCAGCCGGUUGGACCGAACCGGUGACCGGCCGGUUACGCUAAACGACGCCGUUUUAUGAUUAAAAAAAAAGAAACCGACCCGACCCGCUCGAGGAGCACCCUACCCCCCUUUCUUCCCCCGACCCCAUUCAUUCAUGGAGAACCCUAGCCGCGAAGAAGGAAGAACAAUAGCCCCCCUGUCGCCGUUUCUUCCCCUGGUGUCGCCAUCCUCAGCCCCAGUAACCCUCCAAUCUCCAUCUUCGCCUGGUUCCUGCCCAGUAGCCCUCCAUCUCCAUCGGCUUCAUCUUCUCAACAGCAACACGCAGUAGCCCUCUCAUCGCACGGUUGGCGGUCCUCAACAGUCAACACCGGUAGCCCUCCAUCGACCCCAGCUCAAUUCCUGUUUGUUGCACAAUUUCUAUUUUGUUGGUCAAUUUGAACUGUGAACUUGCUCUGUAACUGAAGACAUUCUGUUUUCUGUUGCUCUCUAUUUGUCAAUUUUAUACAAACACGGUUUGGUAUGUAACUAAAGACAUUCUGUUUUCUGUUGCUCUUUUUUCUUUGUUGCUCCAUAUCUUUUGUGCCCCCUUCUCUUUUCCCAGUUAAGAUUAAAUGAUUCUUCCAUUAUGAACUUUGGUUGCAUUCGGCAAGUAUUGUUUAAUGUUUAUACAAUGCAUAUCGUCUUAAAUACAGAUUGAUGUCUGAAGGAUUUGUUUCAUACCUGGAGUUGAGGAAAAAAAAUGGAGUUUCAUUUAAAAGAUUGUAACAUCAUUUGCAGUAUCAGCUACUUUGUUGAUGUAAAUAUCAAUAUUAUACUCUAAUAUGCUAUCUUGUAUUGCUUCCUUUUGUAAAUAUCAAUUUCUGACUUUCUGUGAA